UGUAGUCAUAUGCUUGUCUCAAAGAUUAAGCCAUGCAUGUCUAAGUAUAAGCAACUAUACGGUGAAACUGCGAAUGGCUCAUUAAAUCAGUUAUCGUUUAUUUGAUAGUACCUUACUACAUGGAUAACCGUGGUAAUUCUAGAGCUAAUACAUGCUAAAAACCUCGACUUCGGAAGGGGUGUAUUUAUUAGAUAAAAAACCAACGCCCUUCGGGGCUCCUUGGUGAAUCAUAAUAACUUAACGAAUCGCAUGGCCUUGCGCCGGCGAUGGUUCAUUCAAAUUUCUGCCCUAUCAACUUUCGAUGGUAGGAUAGUGGCCUACCAUGGUGGCAACGGGUAACGGGGAA
rnacentral:rRNA from 1 species